GACGAACGCUGGCGGCGUGCCUAAUACAUGCAAGUCGAGCGGACGGAUGGGAGCUUGCUCCCAGACCGUCAGCGGCGGACGGGUGAGUAACACGUGGGCAACCUGCCUGUAAGACUGGGAUAACUCCGGGAAACCGGGGCUAAUACCGGAUAACUCUUUCCCUCACAUGAGGGAAAGCUGAAAGAUGGCAUCUCGCUAUCACUUACAGAUGUGCCCGCGGCGCAUUAGCUAGUUGGUGAGGUAACGGCUCACCAAGGCGACGAUGCGUAGCCGACCUGAGGGGGUGAUCGGCCACACGGGGACGGAGACGCGGCCCAGGCUCCUACGGGAGGCAGCAGUAGGGAAUCUUCCGCAAUGGACGAAAGUCUGACGGAGCAACGCCGCGUGAGUGAUGAAGGUGUUCGGAUCGUAAAACUCUGUUGUCAGGGAAGAACAAGUACCGGAGUAACUGCCGGUACCUUGACGGUACCUGACCAGAAAGCCACGGCUAACUACGUG
rnacentral:rRNA from 1 species